rnacentral:RNase_P_RNA from 1 species
AGGGAUGCGCGGGCAGCCGUACAGUUCCCCUCCGUAGGGAGCUGUGAGGAAAGUCCGGGCACCAGCGGGCAGCCUGCUACCUAACGGGUAGACGGUCGUGAGGUUGUGCCGACGCAGCAGAAAAUAACCGCUCGGAUAGGCCCCUGUGGUUCAGACGAGCAAGGGUGAGAACGUGGGGUAAGAGCCCACGGCCCUGCCCGGUGACGGGUAUGGGCGUGCGUCGCCAGGCGGUGCAAAAUCAUGUAGGCCUACUGGGGCGUGAGCCCUUCGGGAGGCCCUCUCGAUGCCUUUCCCCCUGUGGGCAAGGCCAGUAGGUGGGUAGAUUGCUAGAGUCCAUUGGCGACAGUGGACCAAGAUAAAUGGCUGCUAACCAGCGGUUUUCCACUGGGAUACAGAACCCGGCUUACAGCGCAUCCCUUAUG